rnacentral:rRNA from 1 species
AACGAACGCUGGCGGCAUGCCUAACACAUGCAAGUCGAACGAGACCUUCGGGUCUAGUGGCGCACGGGUGCGUAACGCGUGGGAACCUGCCUUUAGGUUCGGCAUAACUCAGAGAAAUUUGAGCUAAUACCGGAUGAUGUCUUCGGACCAAAGAUUUAUCGCCUUUAGUUGGGCCCGCGUUGGAUUAGUGAGUUGGUGGGGUAAAGGCCUACCAAGGCGACGAUCCAUAGCUGGUUUGUGAGGAUGAUCAGCCACACUGGGACUGAGACACGGCCCAGACUCCUACGAGAGGCAGCAGUGGGUGAUAUAGGACCAUGGGCGAAAGCCUGAUCCAGCAAGGCCGGGAGAGUGAUGAAGGCCUUGGGGUUGUAAAGCUCUUUUACCCGAGAUGAUAAUGACGGUACCGGGAGAAUAAGCUCCGGCUAACUCCGUG